ensembl:snRNA U6 U6 spliceosomal RNA
GUGCUCACUUUGGCAGCACAUAUACUAAAAUUGAAAUGAUAGAGAGUAGCAUGGCCCCUGCACAGGAAUGACUUGCAAAUUUGUGAAGUGUUCCAUAAAAAA